UUCCGUAGGGUGACCUGCGGAAGGAUCAUUACCGAGUGCGGGCCCUCGUGGCCCAACCUCCCACCCUUGUCUCUAUACACCUGUUGCUUUGGCGGGCCCACCGGGGCCACCUGGUCGCCGGGGGACAUCUGUCCCCGGGCCCGCGCCCGCCGAAGCGCUCUGUGAACCCUGAUGAAGAUGGGCUGUCUGAGUACUAUGAAAAUUGUCAAAACUUUCAACAAUGGAUCUCUUGGUUCCGGCAUCGAUGAAGAACGCAGCGAAAUGCGAUAAGUAAUGUGAAUUGCAGAAUUCCGUGAAUCAUCGAAUCUUUGAACGCACAUUGCGCCCCCUGGCAUUCCGGGGGGCAUGCCUGUCCGAGCGUCAUUUCUGCCCUCAAGCACGGCUUGUGUGUUGGGUGCGGUCCCCCCGGGGACCUGCCCGAAAGGCAGCGGCGACGUCCGUCUGGUCCUCGAGCGUAUGGGGCUUUGUCACUCGCUCGGGAAGGACUGGCGGGGGUUGGUCACCACCAAAAUUUUACCACGGUUGACCUCGGAUCAGGUAGGAGUUACCCGCUGAACUUAAGCAU
rnacentral:rRNA from 1 species